AGUGAACGCUGGCGGUAGGCCUAACACAUGCAAGUCGAACGGCAGCACAGUAAGAGCUUGCUCUUACGGGUGGCGAGUGGCGGACGGGUGAGGAAUACAUCGGAAUCUACUUUUUCGUGGGGGAUAACGUAGGGAAACUUACGCUAAUACCGCAUACGACCUACGGGUGAAAGCAGGGGAUCUUCGGACCUUGCGCGGUUGAAUGAGCCGAUGUCGGAUUAGCUAGUUGGCGGGGUAAAGGCCCACCAAGGCGACGAUCCGUAGCUGGUCUGAGAGGAUGAUCGGCCACACUGGAACGUAGACACGGACCAUACUCCUACGGGAGGCAGCAGUGGGGAAUAUUGGACAAUGGUCGCAAGCCUGAUCCAGCCAUACCGCGUGGGUGAAGAAGGCCUUCGGGUUGUAAAGCCCUUUUGUUGGGAAAGAAAAGCAGCAGGUUAAUACCCCGCUGUUCUGACGGUACCCAAAGAAUAAGCACCGGCUAACUUCGUG
rnacentral:rRNA from 1 species